GAUGAACGCUAGCUACAGGCUUAACACAUGCAAGUCGAGGGGCAGCAUGGUCUUAGCUUGCUAAGGCCGAUGGCGACCGGCGCACGGGUGAGUAACACGUAUCCAACCUGCCGUCUACUCUUGGACAGCCUUCUGAAAGGAAGAUUAAUACAAGAUGGCAUCAUGAGUCCGCAUGUUCACAUGAUUAAAGGUAUUCCGGUAGACGAUGGGGAUGCGUUCCAUUAGAUAGUAGGCGGGGUAACGGCCCACCUAGUCUUCGAUGGAUAGGGGUUCUGAGAGGAAGGUCCCCCACAUUGGAACUGAGACACGGUCCAAACUCCUACGGGAGGCAGCAGUGAGGAAUAUUGGUCAAUGGGCGCAGGCCUGAACCAGCCAAGUAGCGUGAAGGAUGACUGCCCUAUGGGUUGUAAACUUCUUUUAGAAAGGAAUAAAGUCGGGUAUGGAUACCCGUUUGCAUGUACUUUAUGAAUAAGGAUCGGCUAACUCCGUG
rnacentral:rRNA from 1 species